GUGCCGUGAGGUGUUGGGUUAAGUCCCACAACGAGCGCAACCCCCGCCGUUAGUUGCCAGCGGUUCGGCCGGGCACUCUAACGGGACUGCCCGCGAAAGCGGGAGGAAGGAGGGGACGACGUCUGGUCAGCAUGGCCCUUACGGCCUGGGCGACACACGUGCUACAAUGCCCACUACAAAGCGAUGCCACCCGGCAACGGGGAGCUAAUCGCAAAAAGGUGGGCCCAGUUCGGAUUGGGGUCUGCAACCCGACCCCAUGAAGCCGGAAUCGCUAGUAAUCGCGGAUCAGCCAUGCCCGCGGUCGAAUACGUUCCCGGGCCUU
rnacentral:rRNA from 1 species